rnacentral:rRNA from 1 species
AGCUCCAAUAGCGUAUAUUAAAGUUGUUGCAGUUAAAAAGUUCGUAGUUGGAUUUCGGGACGGGCCGGCCGGUCCGCCGCAAGGCGUGUUACUGACCGGGCUGUUCUUCUUCGCAAAGACUGCAUGUGCUCUUAACUGAGUGUGUGUAGGAUCUGUGACGUUUACUUUGAAAAAAUUAGAGUGUUCAAAGCAGGCCAGCGCUUGAAUACAUAAGCAUGGAAUAAUGGAAUAGGACUUUGGUUCUAUUUUGUUGGUUUCCGGAACUCGAGGUAAUGAUUAAUAGGGACGGACGGGGGCAUUUGUAUUGCGACGUUAGAGGUGAAAUUCUUAGAUCGUCGCAAGACAAACUACUGCGAAAGCAUUUGCCAAGAAUGUUUUCAUUAAUCAAGAACGAAAGUAG